rnacentral:rRNA from 1 species
AUGUCUCAGGAGGAGUUUGGGUUCACAAAUGAUGGGAGGAUCACACUGCCUUGUGAUACAGCGGUGAUGGAGUAUGUGAUGUGUUUGGUUAGGAGAGAAGCUUCAAAGGAUGUUGAGAGGGCACUCCUCAGUUCCAUAGUGAUAGCUUGCCACCACCCAAGUAGAAUGGUCCAAUCACUCAGCGGACUUAACCAGCAAUUUGCCGUGUGCAGCUCCUGA